GCUUGUCUCAAAGAUUAAGCCAUGCAUGUCUAAGUAUAGUACCUUAUACUGCGAAACUGCGAAUGGCUCAUUAAAUCAGUUAUAAUUCAUUUGAUGGUACUUACUACUCGGAUAACCGUAGUAAUUCUAGAGCUAAUACAUGCGUCAAUGCCCGACUUUGGAAGGGCUGUGUUUAUUAGAUCCAAAACCAAUGCGGGGCAACCCGGUUACUGGUGAUUCAUAAUAACCUAUCGGACCGAAUGGCCUUGCGCCGUCGGUGCAUCAUUCAAAUUUCUGCCCUAUCAAUUUGUUGGUAGUAUAUAGGACUACCAAGAUGAUUACGGGUAACGGAGAAUUAGGGUUUGAUUCCGGAGAGGGAGCCUGAGAAACGGCUACCACAUCUAAGGAAGGCAGCAGG
rnacentral:rRNA from 1 species